CAAUUGUCCCUUCCCCCUGGCAGAGCUGUUUGACUAUGGAGUAAGGUCUGAAGGUUAAAUGUAACAAUUCUGGACUUCCUGGCUAAGAUGGCUGCAGCAUAGCAGGAAUGGCCUGAUUCUCCUCACAACCAAUUACUACAAAGUGUCUCAAAAGGACAAAAAUUAGAAUCAGAUGAGUGAAGGGGCUCUCCCACUGGAUGCAGCUUCGAAGAAAUGCUUUAUUGUGAGUUCAGCCUACCGGGCAUCCUUUCAUCCAUUAUCUAAAAAUGCCUACAUGAAAAGACAGCUGGCCUUUAGAGUAAGGCAGAAAGUAAGAGAAGGAUCUAUGGAAGAAGAGGGACUCGAACUGGGUCUUAAGGAAGAGGAUUUCAAUAACCAGAGAUGGAGAAGGAAUGAAUUUCAAGCAGGGAGGAAAUCUCCUUGCAUGAAUGUACAGAGGUUAGAAGAGGGCAGCAUUGAAAACAGGUAAAAACUAAUUGUCUACUUAGAGUAAGUAAAAGGCUGGCAUAAGUCAAAUUAAAAAAGGCCUUAAGUGCCAGGAUACUCUGAGGAUCCAACUUAGUAGACAGAGUACUAGGUCUGGAGACAAGAAGACCUGAGUUCUAAUGUGACCUCAGGCACACCCAGUGUGACCCUGGGUAAGUCACUUCACCUAAUCUUAGUUUUUUAAAUUGAUAAAAAGGGGAUAAUAGCACCCAUUUCAAAGGGGUAUUGUGAGGCUCAUAUAAGAUAAUAUUUGUAAAGCAUCUAGCGUGGUGCCUAGCACAUACAUAAUAAGUGCUCUAUAAAUGUUAGCUAUUAUUAUUAUGUGUGAUUUCAUUGAUGUAGGCAUUCUCUCUACUGCCAUGAGUUGUGAACCCAUUAUACCUUAAUAAGUGUCCUUAAAAAGGUUCUAUGUGCCAAAAAUGUACCAACCUGUCCACCUAAAGAUGACCCUUUCCCAGUUUAACGGGCAUGAUCUUUGGAUACCAGAAAUAUAGGCCAUUAUUGAACCCACUGUUGAAGUAUAAUUUUGUAGAGCUUACUAAAAAAGCUUGGAAUCCGCCAGCCUGACCUUUGAAAAUAUAGGAUAAUCUCCAUGUCAUGAGGAGUUGUCAGAACAACUUAAGUGGAAGAAAUCCUAGGAUAAAUUCUGAGGAACUGAUGAUGAUUCUUGAGCCUGGGAGUACCUACAUAUUAGAAAAGUGAUUUUUGUUCUUACAUGACAGAUAUAUUACAAAAAGCAAGAGACUGAAGACAGGGAGACUUUAG
rnacentral:lncRNA from 1 species